rnacentral:lncRNA from 1 species
AUCAUCUUGAUGUCUUUUUGGACAGAGAUGCAGUGCUCAAGGUGGGAGGAAGACUGCGUCAUUCAGCCCUUCCUAGGUCAGUCAAACACCCGACAGUCAUCCCCAGACAGCAUCAUGUCACAAAACUGAUAAUUACACACUAUCACGAAAGAGUUAAACACCAGGGCAAAGGCUUCACCAUCAAUGAAAUACGGGCCAACGGCUACUGGAUCUCAGGUUUAAGUCAAGCAGUCACAUCCUACAUUCGGCAGUGUGUCGUAUGUCGGAAACUAAGAGGAAGUGUAGUAGGUCAGAAAAUGAGUGAUCUCCCCAUAGAACGGAUGGAAUCCUCUCCCCCAUUUACAUACUGUGGGAUGGAUUGUUUUGGCCCUCUUAUGACUAAACAAGGUCGAAAGGAACAAAAACGAUAUGGCCUGCUCUUCACGUGCUUCAGCUCUCGUGCUAUCCAUGUUGAAAUGGUUGAUGACCUGUCAACUGAUGCUUUCAUCAACGGUCUGCGUUGCUUUGUUGCACUGCGAGGCUCAGUGAGACAGAUUAAGUGUGAUCAAGGCACUAAUUUUGUAGGUGCCAAAAAUGAACUGAGUGCGGCCCUACAUGAAGUUGAUGCGGAGAGACUUGAAAACUUCCUUGCAGAAAAGCAAUGUGAUUUUGUGUUCAACACGCCUCGUGCAAGUCACGCAGGUGGAGUGUGGGAACGACAGAUCAGAACUGUAAAAAAUGUGCUCUACUCCACACUCUCACUCUCACCUGGAAGACUCAAUGAUGCCUCCUUAAGGACUUUAUUAUAUGAGGCUUCUGCAAUCGUAAACAGCCGUCCUCUCACAACAGAUAACCUGAACGAUCCAAACAGUUUGGAACCACUCACUCCUAAUCAUCUCGUCACCAUGAAGGCUGCCACUGCACUUCCUCCCCCAGGCAAGUUUGUAAGAGAGGACCUAUAUGGACGAAAAAGAUGGCGACAAGUGCAGUAUCUGGCAGAACAAUUUUGGAGCCGUUGGAGAAAGGAGUAUCUCCACAACAUCAUGCUCAGGCAAAGAUGGCAUAUGCCUAAAAGAAACAUUCAAGUAGGUGACAUUGUGAUGGACGCAGAGGGACAGCAACCAAGAUCUGCAUGGAGACUUGGACGAGUCUCAAAGACUGUGACAGACAAUGAUGGACUUGUAAGGAAAGUCGAGAUAUUUCUAGGAGACAGAAAUCUGAACAAAAGAGGUGAACGCUUGAGCAAAGUAUCUGUGGUAGAACGUCCAGUUCAUAAGUUAGUUCUGCUAGUAGAGGCCUCCUAAGUAAGCAUAUAAAGAGACAAAAACAUCUGUUGUGAUGAUGUGUUCAUUUUGUUGUAUACAAAGUAGCCUAAUUCAUGUG